rnacentral:lncRNA from 1 species
CUGAAAUAAAGCUAGAUUUAAGCUCUGGUAUCUUCUCUCUCUUACAUCAUGGAAGUCAGCUGAUAGGAAAUAUGUUCUGCAUUAUUUUAUUAAUACUAUCGCUACAAAUUUGUCAUGGUCAUUGCUAGAACAAUAAACCUAUGAAUUGUAUUAACUCGGUAUCCCAGACACUGGGUUUAGGGCUGGCAGACUUCCAGGGCUGACCUGAAAUCUUCAGGUUUCCCUCACUUCCUCCAGGUCUCAGAUGGAGAUCUUGAAUUUCUAUGUGAGUGAGAGUACCUAUCUGUCUUUCUAUCUACUGUGAUGGCAGUUUGCAAACUUUAGACACCUCUGAUCCCUCCUCCCUGCUCCCAAUUAACUUCCAUCUCCAGGACUCAGUGGUUAGAGGGACACAGAGGAAGAAACAGAACUGGGCUGGACUGAAGAGGAGGAGGGGAUUUGUGAGAACAUUUUGAGUGUGCAUGUGCAACUGGCACAAGAUAUAAGAAUGCAGACACAACAUGUUGUGCUUAAUGACCAUGGGGCCACACCUAGGUCUCAGGUUGGGGGCCUGAAAUCUCAGGUUCUGGGAUGCAACCCUGAUUUGGCAAUCCUAAAUGGGGCCAACCAAUGAUUUGACACAGAUAAAAAUGGGACUGCUUCACACAUUCCUUAGUUAAACUAUGGAAUUUGCUUGCAGCCAUCAACUUGGGUGGAUCGUGAGACAAAUUCAUGGAUAAGGCUGCCAAUAGCCACUAGCUACACUGUCUGUGUUCCAUCUCCGUUGGGAAUCACAAGUGAUAUUUAUUCCAUUUUAUGCUCACAUCUGCCCUGUGAGGUAGGAUAUGCCGAGAAGUAGAAAAAAACUGGUCCAUGAUCACCCAGGGAGUUUUGUGGCUUAGUAGGGAUGCAAACUUGGAUUUUCUGAAUCAGACCUUCUAACCACUCAACCACACUGCCUCUUGGAAGUUCCCACUUCCUCUUUCACUCCCUGCAACCCCCUCCCCCAACACUACCACCAGUGUUGAGAGAGAGAAGGGCUGAAAUUGUAAAAGAAAGAGAAAAGUCUGAGUGCUAGAGAAUAUUAAGUUUUAUACCUAUAUGCAUAAAGCAUUUUUGCAGCUCUCGGACCAGAAGCAUUCUGCUGCCAAACCCAAUAAAACAGGGGGAAAUCAGCUACGCAGAACCAGAUGGCAUUCCAGUCAAACCUCCGAAACCUUUGGGGUGGAAGACCUACUUCAGGUAACCUGGGGGAAGAUACAGGUUUUGCACGCUGUGAAUAAAACACCAGCACUCAUAACAAAUAACCUGAGGCGGGGCUAGACAGAAAGGCAACCUAAUAUCUCCUCGCAGAUUCCUUCAUGAGUGACUACUUGCUGAUAUGAAGAUUGUCUUUCCCUUCCUCCUUGUGACUCCAUAAUAGCCAUAUGCCUUGCCUAUACCCAGAAUGGCUUUGUUUUCCCAAGAACCCAAAAUAUUCUUUCAACUGCUCUAGACUAUUCAUUUCUGCGCUGUGCUGCUACAGAUAUACCAAACUCAGAUACUAUGCACAUAUCACUUUAGUAUAGACCAGUGGUUUUCAACUAGUGUGCCGUGGCACCCUGGAGUGCCUCGAAUGAUGGUCAGGGGUGCCAUGGGCAAUACUGGCCUCUGUCCUUCCCUCCUUUGAUACCCUCUCACAUCUCUGCCUCUCAAAGGCUUGUGUGGCUGUUUGUUGCAGCAGCCCUGGAUACAAGCUCCCCAGGAGAAUGGUGCCUCUGGGGCUGGCCAGGGGGUGCUGGUUGCCAGGGGCUGGGGUGACCUCAGAGUAAGCAAGCAAUUGGCCGAGGGAGCCUGCCCAGCCAGUCCCCUCAGCCUUUGCUGUUGGGAAUGGACAGACAAGUCUCAGGUCCCUCUGGGGCAAUAUGAGGAGGUACCUCUCUUUGGGGCAGGGGGGUGCAGCUCAGAGACUAGGGACAGCAGCAGCUGCUGCCCAGAGGACUCUCAAGGAGAGGAGGCUGAGGAAACACUCCCCAAAGGAGGGUGCUCAAAAAAGCAUGUGUUAUGUUUUCAGUGGUCUGUGUUUGCCUGAGCUUGAGUUCUAGACUAAAGACUCUGAGCCCCUAUGUUCUGAUUCGAUGCAUGAUAUCCAAUCACAGAACAUUUCAGGAUUUGGGCCCCUGCCAUUGGCCCUUAAACUCUGAGUUAUCAUUUGCAGCUUGGGAGUUUAGACAGCCAGUCACAUUGAGAGUGGGAGUGGCCCAGGUCUUUAGAAAUGUAUAUAAGCAGUUGCUUUGCCCCUGUUGUCCAGUUCUGUUAGUUCAAUAAAGGUUCUUGCUGUUAUUCUUGUGUCCUGCUUCGUGGGAACCCACCUACACUUCAGGUGAGAGCCUGCCAGCUCUGCAAGCAAGAGGUGACAUAACUGGGCUCCUGAGCCCCACAGAAAGAAGAAGAAGACGACGACGAGGAGGAGUUUGGAUUUGAUAUCCUGCUUUAUCACUACCCAAAGGAGUCUCAAAGCGGCUAACAUUCUCCUUUCCCUUCCUUCCCCACAACAAACACUCUGUGAGGUGAGUGAGGCUGAGAGACUUCAGAGAAGUGUGACCAGCCCAAGGUCACCCAGCAGCUGCAUGUGGAGGAGGAGCGGAGACAUGAACCAGGGUCACCAGAUUACGAGUCUACCACUCUUAACCACUACACCACACAGAAUUUAGUUGGUCAGUGAGCCGUGGACUAAAAAAGGUUGAAAACCUCUGGAAUAGACCAAUUUGUUUUUGAACUUUCAACCUUGAUUGAAGGAGCUCUUUCUGCAUAUCAUAGAGUCAUGGAGUUGGAAGGGACCCCACGAAUCAUCUAGUCCAACCCCUGCACCCCCACACCACUUUGCAUAGGAUUCUGGGAGAUAUUCUAGGGCCCCAUCCUCACCAUACACUAUACAUUCUUUGGCUUCUCCCAAAGAAUCCUGGGAACUGUAGUUUGAGAGUGAUGAGAGUUUUCAGGAGACCCCUAUUCUGCGAUUCUCACAGCUCUGAAUCAGUGGCCAUCGCUGCCUCCUGAGGGAGCAAGUUCCAUAGUUUAACUAUGCACUGAGUGGAGAAGUAUUUUCAUUUAUCUGUUCUGAAUCUUCCAACAUUCAAAGUGCCUCUCCAGUUGGCAGUAAUGUGGUAACAUUGGGGAAGCAUUACAAAACAACUAAGAAAGCAGAAUCCACACUAAUACACUAUCAUUGUUGCAAUAACAUCUUGUAGACCCCUCUCCAGUAGCCCACAAUCCCCUACCUUCAUGGAUUGACCAGUCAGAAGACACCCAAAAUGCAAUAAUUUUUGGACUUGCUUCUUAAAAUCCACUGGGAAAAUCGUAUCUGCUGCUAUAUCUCAUAUGUUUUUUUCCUGUAUUUCAGACUUGACUGAUUGCACACAGAUGUCUUUCAAGCCCUGUAGUAAAGUGGUGAAUCAAGAACUCUCUCCUCUCUCAAAAUUCACCCAAACAGCCAAUAACCACAACCUUUACCAUGAAAAAAACCCCAACACUUCAGAUUUAAGCAAAAGGAAUACCUUGC